UGGAGGUGCAUGAUGACAUUC
rnacentral:siRNA from 1 species